rnacentral:rRNA from 1 species
AGGGCACCACCAGGAGUGGAGCCUGCGGCUUAAUUUGACUCAACACGGGAAAUCUCACCAGGCCCGGACACCGGAAGGAUUGACAGAUUGAGAGCUCUUUCUUGAUUCGGUGGGUGGUGGUGCAUGGCCGUUCUUAGUUGGUGGAGCGAUUUGUCUGGUUAAUUCCGAUAACGAACGAGACUCUGGCCUACUAACUAGACGUUGGAUCCCUUUGUGGGUCCAUCGCAGCUUCUUAGAGGGACGGGCGGCGUUUAGCCGCACGAGAUUGAGCAAUAACAGGUCUGUGAUGCCCUUAGAUGUUCUGGGCUGCACGCGCGCUACAUUGAAGGAAUCAGCGUGUGUUCCCUAUCCGAAAGGAUUGGGAAACCCGUUGAACCUCCUUCGUGAUGGGGAUUGGGGAUUGCAAUUAUUCCCCAUGAACGAGGAAUUCCCAGUAGGCGCGAGUCAUAAGCUUGCGUCGAUUACGUCCCUGCCCUUUGUACACACCGCCCGUCGCUACUACCGAUCGAGUGAUUUAGU